UACGUAGGGGGCACGCGUUGUCCGGAAUCACUGGGCGUAAAGGGCGCGUAGGCGGUUGGGGAAGUCCGUGGUGAAAGCUCGUGGCUCAACUACGAGUCGGCCAUGGAUACUCCUUGACUUGAGCACUGUAGAGGCAGAUGGAAUUCCGGGUGUAGCGGUGGAAUGCGUAGAGAUCCGGAAGAACACCGGUGGCGAAGGCGGUCUGCUGGGCAGUAGCUGACGCUGAGGCGCGACAGCGUGGGGGAGCAAACAGG
rnacentral:rRNA from 1 species